rnacentral:rRNA from 1 species
UACAGAGGUGGCAAGCGUUGUCCGGAUUUACUGGGCGUAAAGAGCGCGCAGGCGGUCGUUCAAGUCGCGUGUGAAAGCCCCCGGCUCAACUGGGGAGGGUCACGCGAUACUGAUCGACUCGAAGGCAGGAGAGGGUAGUGGAAUUCCCGGUGUAGUGGUGAAAUGCGUAGAUAUCGGGAGGAACACCAGUGGCGAAGGCGACUACCUGGCCUGUUCUUGACGCUGAGGCGCGAAAGCUAGGGGAGCAAACGGG